AUUGAACGCUGGCGGCAGGCCUAACACAUGCAAGUCGAGCGGAUGAAGGGAGCUUGCUCCUGGAUUCAGCGGCGGACGGGUGAGUAAUGCCUAGGAAUCUGCCUGGUAGUGGGGGAUAACGUCCGGAAACGGGCGCUAAUACCGCAUACGUCCUGAGGGAGAAAGUGGGGGAUCUUCGGACCUCACGCUAUCAGAUGAGCCCAGGUCGGAUUAGCUAGUUGGUGGGGUAAAGGCCUACCAAGGCGACGAUCCGUAACUGGUCUGAGAGGAUGAUCAGUCACACUGGAACUGAGACACGGUCCAGACUCCUACGGGAGGCAGCAGUGGGGAAUAUUGGACAAUGGGCGAAAGCCUGAUCCAGCCAUGCCGUGUGUGUGAAGAAGGUCUUCGGAUUGUAAAGCACUUUAAGUUGGGAGGAAGGGCAGUAAGUUAAUACCUUGCUGUUUUGACGUUACCAACAGAAUAAGCACCGGCUAACUUCGUG
rnacentral:rRNA from 1 species